rnacentral:sRNA from 1 species
CAGGGGAUUGCAGUGGCAAAGCUAGGCUAGGUCUUGGAGGCUGGUGUAAGGCGAUGCGGGUGAAGGCAGGAGGCUGAUGGAGAGACUGGGGGGAAGAAAAGCCGAAAUGGAUUCACGGUGCCUUGGAUGAAGGACGAGAGGGGAACUGCAAGCUCCUUCAACUGGUUCUGUCCGGUGAGAAGUGAUCAAGCUUGGGCUGACAAGAGGCUCAGGGAGCCCUCACGUUCUUUCGCUUUUUUACCUGCCAAUCAAACUGCUACAAGACAACACCCUGAUCUGGCAUGGACAUCGCGGGUCCAAGCCUGUAGCCCCAAAUCGGAUAAUCUCUGCAGCUGAUAACAAGCAAAAGAGAAGCCAGGCAACAGCCAUAUUAAAGAAGAAAACAGUCAACUCUGAGUCUCAAUACCUUCACAGAGGUGAAGAAGCAGCAACCAAAUGAAUUAGACAGCAACAUGAUUCCUAGAGAAUGGCAAGACCAAUUCUUCAACUACUUCUUCAGCAUUUCUGAAACAUAUGGAAGAUGGCCCAUUGUGCUCUCUUAAUUCUUUGAUAAUCUGGACAUUGACUUUUCCAUUAUAUGACCUGGGCUUGUGGGCAUCAUGUCAUAAUGCACCUGUUCAGACAUCUCCCUGUACCAAUAUGGAUCACUUGAAGAGACUCCUUUGCCUCCAUCAAAAAGGAUACAGUUGUGUA